UACGAAGGGGGGCUAGCGUUGCUCGGAAUCACUGGGCGUAAAGGGUGCGUAGGUGGCGCGCUAAGUCGGGUGUGAAAUUUCGGAGCUUAACUCCGAAACUGCAUUCGAUACUGGCGUGCUUGAGGACUGGAGAGGAGACUGGAAUUCAUGGUGUAGCAGUGAAAUGUGUAGAUAUUCGGAAGAACACCAGUGGCGAAGGCAGCGAACUGGCCCUUAAUUGACGCUCAGGCACGAAAGCAUGGGGAUCAAACAGGA
rnacentral:rRNA from 1 species